AGAUGCCAAACAUCAUGGAAGCCUGAUUCUGGAAAACCAAAUGCCCAAUACUCAAACCAACUGCCUGUGUUUCGGAGUUCUACCUCUGGAGAAUCAAAAGGCAGUCUGAACCUUGAAGAGCUGUCCUUUAACAUGGGCUUUGGGCUAGCUGUGCCGCUUGAAAAUGACCCAGAUGUGUGAAGGUGGAACAAGUUUCCUUUCCCCAGGGAUCCGCACACCCUCUCUUUUCCUGCUACACCGGAGCAUCUUCCUCCUCUGCUGGACAAGUUUACCAAGGAACUUACCCAAAUCCAGGUAAAAGUGAGUAACUCAUGGGAGGUCCUGGAUCUCAAGCCAGAUGCCAGGGCGGAGGGGUGCCGAUUGAUCAACAACUGGCUGUGCUGACUUAGCAAGCAGGGUGUCUGUUUUCAGGGAAUGGGAUGGUGUCCUGUGGGGUGAGUGCCCUGGUCGACUUUGAGAUAGUCACACCUCUGCCCAUUGUGCAUUUCAGAGCCCUGCCAGGGAGAGGAGUCAGGAAAUCAUGCUGGCCAAUGCCCCAGGCCAGUGCAGACCAGGCCCUGGGAGGCCGAGGAAGGGCUGAGGGUUGCUGUUAGGGUGCGUGUCCGCCAGAGGGCCCCAGAGAGGCAGGUGAGCCGCCCCCCUGCCUCUCCCUGGCUGCCUCACCAGGCUCGGAAAGUGAUUGGAGAUGGAUGGAUGGAACCUCAAGGAGGGGCCCGGAGCCUUGUGUUUGUGUACCUGGUGCCUCUGCCCCAGCGGCCCAGUUUGCCUCCACUCAGUGAGGGCAACAUUCCUCAUUCGGGACAACAACCGGGGCUUCCUUGGGGAGAGUCAGGGCCUUUAGUGUAAUGAGUGGAGGUCUAGUUGGAGAGAGCUUAGGGCUUUAGAUAAGGGCAAGGCCAGGCCUAAAUUAGGUAAACAGACAGGGCCUUAAUUAGAGACAGCUCAGAGCAUGAGUCAUGGUUAGUGCAAGGCCUUAGGUAGGGCCAUGCCAGGACCUUAUUUAGGCACAGCAUAGAGCCUUAGGUAGGCGAACAGGGCCUCAUUUGGAGAGAGCUCAGGCUGAUAAUGAAGGGUAAGUUCUUAGUUAGGGACAGCGCAAGGCUUACAUAGGGACAGCACAGGGCCUAAAUUAGGCACCCGGUCAGGGCCUUCGUUGGAGAUUGACUGGGGACAGUGCAUGGCCUCUUUUAGGGAGAGCCCAGGACCUUAUUUAGGGACAUCACAGCGUCUCAGUUCUGGGGAGAGCCAAGGAUUUAGUUAGAAGAAGCUCAGAUGGUAGUUAGGGAGAGCCCAGUGCCCUAGUUCCAUGAAAAGUCAAAUUUUGGGGAGUUCCCGUCGUGGCGCAGUGGUUAACGAAACCGACUAGGAACCAUGAGGUUGCGGGUUCGAUCCCUGCCCUCACUCAGUGGGUUAAGGAUCCGGCGUUGCCGUGAGCCAUGGUGUAGGUCGCAGACGCGGCUUGGAUCCUGCAUUGCUGUGGCUCUGGCGUAGGCUGGCAGCUACAGCUCCGAUUAGACCCUAGCCUGGGAACCUCCAUAUGCCACGGGAGCGGCCCAAGAAAUGGCAAAAAGACAAAAAAAAAAAAAAAAAGAGUCAGAUUUUGGCUGGGGAAGGCUCCAGGUUAUGGUGAAGGACAGUGUAGGGUCUUGGUUAAGGACAAGCAGGGCCUUCCUUAGGCAUGGUGUUGGGGACUUGGAUGAAGAUAGCUUAGUGACCUCAGUAGGGACAUUGUCAGGGCCUCAUUUCGGGAUAGGCCAGGGCCUUAGUUAGGGACAAUUCAGAGCCUUAGGGAGAGUACAGGGCCUAUGUUAGGGACAGCAUUAGGACUUGACUUAGAGACAGGGUCAGGGCCAUCGUUGGUCAUAACUCAGUUCCUUAGGAGAGAAAAUCUCGGUCUUCAUUAAGGACACAUAAAGGUCUCAUGGACAGUGCAUGGCCACAGGUAGGGACAGUGCAGGGACUGGGUUAGGAAGAGUGUCAGAGCCUUAGGUGUAGACAGCAAGGGCCUUAGUUGGGGACAUAACUGCGCAUUAGGAAGAGUGCAGGGUCUAAGUGGAGGACAACCUGAAGACUUUUCUUAGGGACAGUGCUGGACAUAGCACAGUGCUUUAGUUAGAGACAUAACUGAGCCUUUGUUAAGGACAGUGCAUGACUUUAGGAACAGUAGAGGGUCUAGGUUCAUGACCGCACUAGGACUUUUCUUAGGGACAAAGUCAAGGCCAUAGUUUGACACAGCACAGGGUCUUUGUUCGAGAUAACUCAGGGACUUAGUGAUGGACACACAACGGUCUCAAAUAGGGGCAGUGUAGGGCUUUAGCCAGGCACAGUGCCUGGCACAGGGCAGAACUAUGUUUAGGGGCAGUGUAGGGCCUUCGUUAAGGACCGUGCCAGUGUCUUUGUUAGGGACAGCCCUGGGCCUUCGUUAGGCACACUGCCAGAGCCUUGGGUUUGGACAGCAGUGGCCUUAGUUAUGGACAUAACUUAGCCUUAGUCAAGGAUGGUGUGCAACCUUAGGAACAGUGCAGUGCCUAAGAUAAGGACGGCAGUAGGACUUUUCUCAGGGGAAUGGUCAAGACCAAGUUGGACACAGCACAGGGCCUUAGUUAGGGGCAGGAUUUGGGCCUUGCACGGGUAUAAUCAAGGCCUCAGUCAAGGAUGGUGUGCAGCCUUAGGAACAGUGCAGUGCCUGAGAUAAGGACGGCAGUAGGACUUUUCUCAGGGGAAUGGUCAAGACCAAGUUGGACACAGCACAGGUCUUAGGUAGGGGCAGGAUCUGGGCCUUAUGUGGAUGUAAUCAAGGCCCUAGUUAAGGACAUAUAAGGGUAUUAGAUAAGGACACCUAAGAGUCUUAGUUACAGAAGUUUAGGGCCUUCAUUAGGGAAAACACAGGGCCCGAGUUAAACACAGUGUCCAGAGCCUUAGGUUUGGACGGCAGUGCCCUUAGUUAGGGACAUAACUAGGCCUUAGUUAAGGACAGUGCACAACCUUAGCAACAGCGCAGUCUCUAAGAGGAGGACAGCAUUAGGACUUUUCAUGGGGACAGAGUCAAGGCCAUAGUUGGACAUAGUUAGGGGCAGGAUCUGGGCCUUAGUUGGAGAUACUCAGGGCCUUAGUUAAGGUCAUAUAAGGGACAUCCUGGCCCCUAAGUUAGGUUUUUCUGCAGGGCCUUUGUUGGAGAUAGAAUAGGGACUUAGGGACAGUGUCAGGAGCUCAGUUAGGAGUCGUCCAGGGCCUUGUUAGGGAUGGAGCAGGACCUUAGGAAUAGUGCAGGGUCUAAGUUGAGGACAGCAAUAGAACUUUACCUAAGGACAGAUUUAGGGCCAUAGUUGCAGAUAAUUCAGGGCCUUAGUAAAGAAAGAUAUGAGUCUAGUGUAAGGACACAGAAGGUCCUUAGUUAGGGAAACAUAUGAGUCUAGUAUAAGUACACAUAAGGUCCUUAGGUAGGUAAGGCAAGGCCUAAUGCCCAGUGCCAGGGCUUUAGUUAUGACAGCAAAAACCUUAAUUGGGGAAUAGCUUGGCCAGAGUUAAGGACAAUGCACGACCUUAGUAACAGGGCAGGGUCUAAGUUGAGGACAGCGUGAGGAAUGUUCUUUGUCCGUUGUUGGACACAGCAUAGGCUCUUAGUUAGGAUCCGUCUACUUAGUGACAGCCCAGGGCUUUAGACAGAGACAGGUCGGGCCUCAGUUAUGGACAGUACAAGGCGGUCGUUAGGAUCAGCUCAGGGCUUUAGUUAGAGGCAGUCCAGGGGCUUAUUAGGAGAGAGUAGGGACCUAGGGACAGUGCAGGGGUUUAGUUAGGGGGAGUUUAGGUCUAGUUAGGGCCAGAGCAUGGACUUAAUCCGGGACAGCUCAGGGCUUUACUUAGACGAGAAAGAGCAGGGCAGAGACUGUAGGGCCUAAAUUAGGGAGACAGCAGUACCUUAGUUAGGAAUACUGCAGUAACUCUUUUAGAGAUAGCUCAGAGUCUUAGGUACAGCUCAGGGACUUACUAGGAAACCAAACAGGGCCUUUACUGGGGACAGUGCAGCGCCUUCAUUAGUGGCAGAGCAGGCCAUUCGUUCGAGACAGCAGGGCCUUAGGGAGAGUGCAGGUCUUUAGGUAGAAACAGCUCAGGGCCAUUGAUAUCUAUGUGUUGAUUCUGUGAAUUUACUGAAUUCAUGUAUUAGUUCUAAUAGUUUUUUUGGUGGAAUAGUGUGAAACAUUGGAAUUUAAAAAUCCACUGCUUCUGCUGCAUUCAUGUCAUUCACAGCCCAGAAGAAGGUGGCUCCGAGUGUAAUUUUCCCCCAGUGUCUCUAAAUUACCCAUGGACUUUGGGUCAAGUGAAUCUGAGAAGACUUGGCCUCUAUAUGAAAGUUUGAGGUUUUCCCUGCUUUUCUGGCAUGGUAUUGACAUGGUGUUUUCAAAAGUAAUUUAUUUUCCAUUAAUUUUGAAUAUACAGACAACUUUACAAAGAUAAAAACCUGUCUUAUUUCUGGAGUAAAUAUAUUCCUACAUAGUAAUGGUGACAUUAUUUUAAAUGGAAUUGUUUUUAUAUAGUCUUUUUCAGAUUAUUUAUUGCUCGUGUAUACAUACACAUUUUUGUGAAUUGAUAUUUUGUCCUGUAACUUUGCUGAAUUCGUUUACCAGGUCCAAUAAUUUUCUGUCACUAUAGGAAGUUUUAUAUAUAAGAUGAUGUCAUCUGUGUUCUGUGCCUCGGCGCAGUUUUACUGGAUCCAUCCACACAUGGACGCCUUUGACUUCCGUCCUCAAGCCCUCAGGUAGAACUUCUAGUACCCUGCUGAGGAACGGUGGUGAAGGCAGCUUCCCGGCCUCGUUUCUGGUUUCGGGAGUAAAUGUUUGUCUUUACUUUUGAGCAGGAAGUUUGCUGUGGCUUUGCAUACUGCUUUUUUCCGUAUUGAACAAUCUUGGUUUCAUUCUUACAUUCUUGAGUGUUUGUAACAUGAAAUAGCA
rnacentral:lncRNA from 9 species